rnacentral:rRNA from 1 species
AGCGAACGCUGGCGGCAGGCCUAACACAUGCAAGUCGAACGAACCUUUCGGGGUUAGUGGCGGACGGGUGAGUAACACGUGGGAACGUGCCUUUAGGUUCGGAAUAACUCAGGGAAACUUGUGCUAAUACCGAAUGUGCCCUUCGGGGGAAAGAUUAAUCGCCUUUAGAGCGGCCCGCGUCUGAUUAGCUAGUUGGUUGAGGUAAUGGCUCACCAAGGCGACGAUCAGUAGCUGGUCUGAGAGGAUGAUCAGCCACAUUGGGACUGAGACACGGCCCAAACCCCCAGGGGAGGGAGAAGGGGGGAAUCUUGCGAAAUGGGGGAAAGCCGAAGGCGGCCGGGCGGGGGAAAUUAUGAAGGUUUUAGGAUUGAAAAUUUCUUUCCCCGGGGACGUUAAUACGGUACCCGGGGAAAAAGGCCCGGCUAAACUCCGU